AAAGAAACUUUACUAUAGUAUGGAAAUCAAACCUUCAGAACUAAAAUUCCAGCAACAACAGUUUUCCAAGGUGUUUUGCAUCCUAUUUUAAAAUUUAUUUUAUUUCAUUAUGUAUUUCAAUAGUUAUACUACUUUUUACAGAACUUCUGGAUACCUGAGUUUUCUUUGAGGUUUAUUAGGACUCCAAAGUUGUCAGAAGUCCAAGAAGUGUGAGGGACCUUCACUUCAAGUCUUUCCUGUUCAGACCCUAAAUAAGCAUCUGAGAGUCUUGCUGGAUUUUGAAGAACAAGAAGGUGACAUGUAAGCAGACCAGGAUCAUCUGCAUGGAGACUGCUUCUUGCUGCUGCCCCUGUGAAUUUUAUGUUUUAGAGCAAAAAGCAUGGCAGUGCCAUGGCUUAUGUGAGUGUUUACAUGAACACAAGCACAAGUCUGCACUCAACGUGGUUUGAAUUAAAAGACUGCUGUCCAAGUGAAUGGCAUGUACUACCCACGAGCACUGGGAGGUGUCUUGGAAGAUAUUCCAGAUCUUGUCAGGCCAGCUUUAGGUUACAGAAAGAAGAAAAGGCAAGUAGGUGGUCCCAAGAAGUCUGCUGUCUAGUGGGAUUUAUGUGUGUUUGGCACAAGGAUGCUGUCAUGACCAAGAAUCUAUCUUCUGCUAACUGAGCCUGUUUGCUGUAGUUCAAGGAUCUGAGGCUGCAAGAGUGUUGUCAACAAAAGGAACUCGUCAUAGCAUACUCUUAAUUCAACUGAAAUCGAGGAUAUGCCUACUCUGCUUGGAUCACUGGUACUGCUCAGUGAUCCUGCAGCGUUACUGAUGGCAGGACUGCAGCCCAAGUGCAAUCACGGAAAAGCCAGGAGCUGCAGCUUUCAUCAAUGGGAUUUUAAACAAGGGGUUUUCAUGAGCACCAAGGCACAUUCUGCUUGACAUGCUGGCACAAAGUCAACAUAGAAGAAUGCUGUGUCAGGAAACUGUCAUGAAAUUUACAGCAGAAAUUAAACCCUUCAAAUUUUCCUCUGAGUAAAAGGUUCACGUGGAGUUGUUUGAUUCCAUAAAAUUACAUAAUUUCUAUAAACGCGAGGAUGUUACAGACAAUAUAAAAAUGAUCACAACAUAAUUGUU